rnacentral:misc_RNA from 1 species
GAUGAAGAACGCAGCGAAAUGCGACAAGUAAUGCGAAUUGCAGAAUUCAGUGAGUCAUCGAAUCUUUGAACGCACAUUGCGCCCUGUGGUAUUCCGCAGGGCAUGCCUGUUCGAGCGUCAUUUCAACCCUCAAGCUCUGCUUGGUGUUGGGCCCUGCCCGCUGCGGCCGGCCCUAAAGACAGUGGCGGUGCCGCCUGGCCCUGAGCGUAGUACAUCUCUCGCUCCAGUGCCCGGUGGUAGCCUGCCAGAACCCCAACUCUCGUGGUUGACCUCGGAUCAGGUAGGGAUACCCGCUGAACUUAAGCAUAUCAAUAAGCGGAGGA